CCUACGGGCGGCAGCAGUAGGGAAUAUUGCUCAAUGGGGGAAACCCUGAAGCAGCAACGCCGCGUGGAGGAUGAAGGUUUUCGGAUUGUAAACUACUUUUGUUAGAGAAGAUAAUGACGUUAUCUAACGCAUAAGCACCGGCUAACUCCGUGCCAGCAGCCGCGGUAAUACGGGGGGUGCGCGCGUUACUCGGAAUCACUGGGCGUAAAGAGCGCGUAGGCGGGAUAGCAAGUCAGAUGUGAAAUCCUAGGGCUUAACCAUAGAACUGCAUUUGAAACUGUUAUUCUAGAGUAUGGGAGAGGUAGGUAGAAUUCUUGGUGUAGGGGUAAAAUCCGUAGAGAUCAAGAGGAAUACUCAUUGCGAAGGCGACCUGCUAGAACAUGACUGACGCUGAGGCGCGAAAGCGUGGGGAGCAAACAGGAUUAGAUACCCCGGUAGUC
rnacentral:rRNA from 1 species